rnacentral:rRNA from 1 species
AGCGAACGCUGGCGGCAGGCUUAACACAUGCAAGUCGAACGGUCCUUCGGGAUAGUGGCGGACGGGUGAGUAACACGUGGGAACGUACCCUUAGGUUCGGAACAACACAGGGAAACUUGUGCUAAUACCGGAUAAGCCCUUCGGGGGAAAGAUUUAUCGCCUUUGGAGCGGCCCGCGUCUGAUUAGCUUGUUGGUGAGGUAAUGGCUCACCAAGGCUACGAUCAGUAGCUGGUCUGAGAGGAUGGCCAGCCACACUGGGACUGAGACACGGCCCAGACUCCUACGGGAGGCAGCAGUGGGGAAUCUUGCGCAAUGGGCGAAAGCCUGACGCAGCCACGCCGCGUGGAUGAUGAAGGUCUUAGGAUUGUGAAAUCCUUUCACCGGGGACGAUAAUGACGGUACCCGGAGAAGAAGCCCCGGCUAACUUCGUGCCAGCCGCCGCGGUAA